UCGGGUCGUUAGCUCAGUUGGUAGAGCAGUUGACUUUUAAUCAAUUGGUCGCAGGUUCGAGACCCACCAAUCUUAA
rnacentral:tRNA from 1 species